rnacentral:rRNA from 1 species
CUCGUAGGGCGCAAGCGUUGUCCGGAAUUAUUGGGCGUAAAGAGCUCGUAGGUGGCCUGUUGCGUCCGCUGUGAAAACUCAGGGCUUAACCCUGAGCCGGCAGUGGAUACGGGCAGGCUAGAGGUAGGUAGGGGAGAAUGGAAUUCCUGGUGUAGCGGUGAAAUGCGCAGAUAUCAGGAGGAACGCCGGUGGCGAAGGCGGUUCUCUGGGCCUUACCUGACACUGAGGAGCGAAAGCGUGGGGAGCGAACAGG